rnacentral:rRNA from 1 species
CAGUCGCCGCGGGAAAACGGAGGGUGCAAGCGUUAAUCGGAAUUACUGGGCGUAAAGCGCACGCAGGCGGUUUGUUAAGUCAGAUGUGAAAUCCCCGAGCUUAACUUGGGAACUGCAUUUGAAACUGGCAAGCUAGAGUCUUGUAGAGGGGGGUAGAAUUCCAGGUGUAGCGGUGAAAUGCGUAGAGAUCUGGAGGAAUACCGGUGGCGAAGGCGGCCCCCUGGACAAAGACUGACGCUCAGGUGCGAAAGCGUGGGGAGCAAACAGGAUUAGAUACCCCCGUAGCCCUGUCUCUUAUAAA